UACGAGUGGUCCAAGCGUUAUCCGGAAUUAUUGGGCGUAAAGGAUGUGUAGGUGGUUUGUCGCGUUGUCCGUGAAAACUCACAACUCAAUUGUGGGCGUGCGGGCGAUACGGGCAGACUGGAGUACUGCAGGGGAGACUGGAAUUCCUGGUGUAGCGGUGGAAUGCGCAGAUAUCAGGAGGAACACCGGUGGCGAAGGCGGGUCUCUGGGCAGUAACUGACGCUGAGGAGCGAAAGCAUGGGGAGCGAACAGG
rnacentral:rRNA from 1 species